GGCAGUGCCGGUGACAUAUCAAUUAGAUGUCCGCCCCAUCAAUUGUUGACGGUAAGGUAGUGGCUUACCGUGGUUACAACGGGUAACGGGGAAUCAGGGUUCGAUUCCGGAGAGGGAGCAUGAGAAAUGGCUGCCAGAUCUAUGGAUUGCAGCAGGUGCGAAAAUUAUCCACUUUUGGCAUAAAGAGAUAGUGAUGAUAAAUAACGGAUCUGGGCAUUUGUUCAGAGAUCGUAAUGAAAUAAUCGUAAAAGCUUUAAUGAACGCAAUUGGAGGGCAAGUCUGGUGCCAGCAGCCGCGGCAAUUCCAGUUCCAAUAGUGUAUACUAAAGUUGCUGCAGUUGAAAAGCUCGUAGUUGGAUCUCGGCUUGCUAGCGCGCGAGGCGUGUGAGUAGGCCUUUGCUGUAGUUGAGUGCUACGGCUUUACCUUGAACAAAAUAGAGUGCUUAAGGCAAGCAUUCUGCUUGAAUAUCUCAGCAUGGAAUAAUAGAAAAAGACUUUUCUGUUGGUUUACCAGUAGUAAAAGUAAUGAUUAACAGAGACAGACGGGGGCAUUCGUAUCGCACCGCUAGAGGUGAAAUUCGUAGAUCGGUGCGGGACGAACUACAGCGAAAGCAUUUGCCAAGGAUGUUUUCAUUAAUCAAGAACGAAAGUUGGAGUAUCGAAGUCGAUUAGAUCUCGUCGUAGUUCCAACUAUAAACGAUGCCAACUAGCACUCCGCUAAUAAGUAUUAGUACGUUAGCGGGUUGCUUCCGGGAAACCAAAGUCUUUGGGCUCCGGGGGAAGUAUGGUUGCAAAGCUGAAACUUAAAGGAAUUGACGGAAGGGCACCACCAGGAGUGGAGCCUGCGGCUCAAUUUGACUCAACACAGAAAAACUCACCCGGGCCGAACACAGUAAGGAUUGACAGACUGAUAGCUUUUUCUUGAUACUGUGGGUAGUGGUGCAUGGCCGUUGUUGGUUGGUGGAGUGAUCUGUCUGGUUAAUUCCGAUAACGAACGAGACUCAGGCCUACUUACUAGUUGUUCGAUUGCUGGUCGAUCAACUUCUUAGAGGGAUCAGUGUUUAAAACACUUGAAAAUGAGCAAUAACAGGUCUGUGAUUGCCCUUAGACGUUCGGGGCUGCACGCGCGCUACAAUGGAGAAAGCAGUGGGUGUCUUGCUUGGCAAAGCAAGCUGAGCCUUAAAAUUUCUUCGUGACAGGGAUCGAGGCUUGUAAUUAUUCCUCGUGCACAAGGAAUUCCUAGUAAUCGCAGGUCAUUAGCCUGCAAUGAUUACGUCCCUGCC
rnacentral:rRNA from 1 species